rnacentral:rRNA from 1 species
UACGUAGGUGGCAAGCGUUGUCCGGAUUUACUGGGCGUAAAGAGCGCGCAGGCGGUCGUUCAAGUCGCGUGUGAAAGCCCCCGGCUCAACUGGGGAGGGUCACGCGAUACUGAUCGACUCGAAGGCAGGAGAGGGUAGUGGAAUUCCCGGUGUAGUGGUGAAAUGCGUAGAUAUCGGGAGGAACACCAGUGGCGAAAGCGGCGCUCUGGGCCUAAACUGACGCUGAGGGGCGAAAGCGUGGGGAGCGAACGGG